AUUGAACGCUGGCGGAAUGCUUUACACAUGCAAGUCGAACGGCAGCACGGGGCAACCUGGUGGCGAGUGGCGAACGGGUGAGUAAUACAUCGGAACGUGCCCAAUCGUGGGGGAUAACGUAGCGAAAGUUACGCUAAUACCGCAUACGAUCUACGGAUGAAAGCGGGGGAUCGCAAGACCUCGCGCGAGUGGAGCGGCCGAUGUCAGAUUAGGUAGUUGGUGGGGUAAAGGCUCACCAAGCCAACGAUCUGUAGCUGGUCUGAGAGGACGACCAGCCACACUGGAACUGAGACACGGUCCAGACUCCUACGGGAGGCAGCAGUGGGGAAUUUUGGACAAUGGGCGCAAGCCUGAUCCAGCCAUUCCGCGUGCAGGAUGAAGGCCUUCGGUUGUAACUGCUUUGUCAGGAGAAUCUUCUGGCGUAUACCCGGGAGGAGUGACGGUACCUGAAGAAUAAGCACCGGCUAACUACGUGCCAGCAGCCGCGGUAA
rnacentral:rRNA from 1 species